UACGGAGGGGGCGAGCGUUAUUCGGAAUCAUUGGGCGUAAAGGGCGCGUGGGCGGCUCCGUAAGUCUUGGGUGAAAGCCCUCGGCUCAACCGAGGAAUUGCCUUGGAUACUGCGGAGCUCGAGGCUGGAAGAGGACAGUGGAAUUCCCGGUGUAGCGGUGAAAUGCGUAGAUAUCGGGAAGAACACCAGUGGCGAAGGCGGCUGUCUGGGCCAGUUCUGACGCUGAGGCGCGAAAGCGUGGGGAGCAAACAGG
rnacentral:rRNA from 1 species